CCAGAAUGAUCUGUACUAUUCACUGCCACGCCGCUGUGUGGCUCCGGUUUGCAGGCCUCAGGAGUCCACUAAGGAAAGAAGUACUUCCCUAAGACUGGAAACAAGAAAAAGGUUGUAGAGGCUCAAGUCGUUGUAGCCUUCAGACUUGAAAUGUAGAACAUCGAAGGUGGGCAGGAUCUCGUAUACCUUGAGGACGUCCGUCUUCUGCCGGAACGGGACGAAGAGCGUGUAGAUGACCACGGGGACCAGCAGGGCGUACACUAGGAGGUUAAUGAGGCUGAGCAGCUGGAAGAUGCCGACCGCGAUGAGCUUGCACUGGAAGCUAUCGGGGAUGGUGCUGUCGUUCCUCAGGACGCCCGACUUGAUGCUACACAGAAACUCGUCGGAGAGCGAGGAGAGGCUGAAGUAGUAG
rnacentral:lncRNA from 1 species